GAGAAGUUGGAUGCAGUUAUCUGUCAAGACGCCAUUGUUAUUGUGAAAAUUUGUACUGUGUUCUACUGCAAUCAGUGUUGAUUGUCCUUCCACUUGUCGCGUUUUGAAAUUAAUAAUAGCAAUUUAAAUUACCAGUUUCUUUAUACCGUUCAAUAAAUUGAACGGAUAGAAAACCUAAUAAUGGGUCUCAUUUGUUCAACAGCGCAGCUUGCCUGCCUGUGCAGCAGCACAGCCUGCAGUUUCUGUUGUUCUCAAUGUCCAUCGUGUCGCAACAGCACGAGUACUCGUAUUAUGUAUGCAUUAUUAUUAAUGAUAGGAACUAUUGCUGCUUGCAUUACAUUGGCUCCUGGUUUGCAAGAUGCGCUUAAAAAGGUACCAUUUUGUGCUAAUAGCACAAACUAUGUUCCAUCGAAAUUCACUAUUGAUUGUGAGUCCGCUGUUGGAUAUUUAGCAGUGUAUAGAAUAUGUUUCAUCAUAGCUCUGUACUUCUUUUUGAUGUCUGUUAUGAUGAUCAGAGUAAGAAGUUCUAAAGAUCCCAGGGCACCUAUACAAAAUGGAUUCUGGGCUAUUAAAUAUCUUCUAAUAAUCGGUGGAAUAAUUGGCGCAUUUUUCAUACCUGAAAAGUCAUUUGGAACAACAUGGAUGUAUUUUGGAAUGAUUGGUGGCUUUCUUUUUAUUAUUAUUCAAUUAAUUCUCAUAGUUGAUUUUGCCCAUUCAUGGGCAGAUGCUUGGGUUGGUAAUUAUGUGGAUACAGGAUCAAAAGGAUGGUAUGCUGCACUAUUAGGAGCAACGUUGUUUAAUUACGCUGUUUCUAUUACCGGAAUUGUUUUACUUUUUAUAUACUUUACUCACCCAUAUACCUGUGCCUUGAAUAAAUUUUUCAUAUCCUACAACCUAAUCGUAUGUGUAAUUGUUAGUAUCAUAUCAACUCUACCAGUUGUACAAGAACAUUAUCCACGUUCUGGUCUUCUUCAAUCGUCUAUUGUUUCCUUGUACGUUGUUUAUUUAACAUGGAGUGGAAUUUCAAACAGCCCAGAUAGUGAGUGCAAUCCUGGAUUCCUGAAAAUGUUUUCUCCUAAUGAUACCGAUACACGUAAUCGCGUAUCUUUCGACAAAGAAAGUGUUAUUGGUUUAGUCAUCUGGUUUAGUUGUGUAUUGUAUAGUUCUUUGCGUACUGCAUCCAAAUCAUCAAAACUUACAAUGUCCGAGAAUGUUUUGGUCAAGGAUAAUGGAGCAGUUAGGAACGCAGUUGACCAGAGUCUUAUCGACAACGAAGAUUAUACUCCAGUAGAAGGCCGUAAUCCUGACGCAGAAAGUGGAAAUGAGGCUAAAGUAUGGGAUAAUGAAGAGGACACGGUAGCUUACAAUUGGAGUUUCUUCCAUCUCAUGUUUGCUCUCUCCACGCUAUAUGUUAUGAUGACACUUACUAAUUGGUACCAACCAAAUUCCGAUUUGAAUACUCUGAACUCCAAUGCCGCCUCAAUGUGGGUAAAAAUUAUAUCCUCUUGGAUGUGUUUGGGACUGUAUGGAUGGUCAUUGAUCGCUCCUGCAAUAUUGACAAAUCGAGAUUUCUCUUAAAUAUAGAAAUAUCGUCACAAAACGUGGAGAGUGGUAAUUAGCAGACAAUUCCGCCUUUAACUCCUAUUGCACAUAAAACUGUUCUAAAGUUUUUGUAUACCCUGAAUAGUUAAGACUGUUAUAAAAAUAUCUAUACAAAGUUAUAUUAUGAUCUCUAUAAAGUAUUGAUACUCGAUGUAUGUUUGCAUACAUAUUAAAUUAAUGCAAACGAAUACUACUAUGGACGCAGCGAUACCAAAAUAACAACUGUUUAUAAAUACAAUUAUGUCUUACUUAAAAGGAUUAGGUUGAAUCGCAUUUUACUCUAUUUUACAAUAAUAUAUUUGUGCAGAGCAACUAUAAUAAAUACAUUAAUAUAACAUAUUUUACA